rnacentral:rRNA from 1 species
GACGAACGCUGGCGGCGUGCUUAACACAUGCAAGUCGAACGGAAAGGCCCUGCUUUUGUGGGGUGCUCGAGUGGCGAACGGGUGAGUAACACGUGAGUAACCUGCCCUUGACUUUGGGAUAACUUCAGGAAACUGGGGCUAAUACCGGAUAGGAGCUCCUGCUGCAUGGUGGGGGUUGGAAAGUUUCGGCGGUUGGGGAUGGACUCGCGGCUUAUCAGCUUGUUGGUGGGGUAGUGGCAUACCAAGGCUUUGACGGGUAGCCGGCCUGAGAGGGUGACCGGCCACAUUGGGACUGAGAUACGGCCCAGACUCCUACGGGAGGCAGCGGUGGGGAAUAUUGCACAAUGGGCGGAAGCCUGAUGCAGCAACGCCGCGUGCGGGAUGACGGCCUUCGGGUUGUAAACCGCUUUCGCCUGUGACGAAGCGUGAGUGACGGUAAUGGGUAAAGAAGCACCGGCUAACUACGUG